GAUGAACGCUGGCGGCGUGCUUAACACAUGCAAGUCGAACGAAGCGCUUUAGUUGAUUUCUUCGGAUUGAUUCUAAAGUGACUUAGUGGCGGACGGGUGAGUAACGCGUGGGUAACCUGCCUCGUACAGGGGGAUAACAGUUAGAAAUGACUGCUAAUACCGCAUAACCCGCUAAGGUCGCAUGACCUGGACGGAAAAGAUUUAUCGGUACGAGAUGGACCCGCGUCUGAUUAGCUAGUUGGUGAGGUAACGGCCCACCAAGGCGACGAUCAGUAGCCGGCCUGAGAGGGUGAACGGCCACAUUGGGACCGAGACACGGCCCAAACUCCUACGGGAGGCAGCAGUGGGGAAUAUUGGGCAAUGGGCGAAAGCCUGACCCAGCAACGCCGCGUGAAGGAAGAAGGUCUUCGGAUCGUAAACUUCUGUCCUAAGUGAAGAGAAGAAGACGGUAGCUUAGGAGGAAGCCCCGGCUAACUACGUG
rnacentral:rRNA from 1 species